rnacentral:rRNA from 1 species
CGGACGGGUGAGUAACACGUGGGUAACCUACCUAUAAGACUGGGAUAACUUCGGGAAACCGGAGCUAAUACCGGAUAAUAUUUCGAACCGCAUGGUUCGAUAGUGAAAGAUGGUUUUGCUAUCACUUAUAGAUGGACCCGCGCCGUAUUAGCUAGUUGGUAAGGUAACGGCUUACCAAGGCGACGAUACGUAGCCGACCUGAGAGGGUGAUCGGCCACACUGGAACUGAGACACGGUCCAGACUAAUACGGGAGGCAGCAGUAGGGAAUCUUCCGCAAUGGGCGAAAGCCUGACGGAGCAACGCCGCGUGAGUGAUGAAGGUCUUCGGAUCGUAAAACUCUGUUAUUAGGGAAGAACAUACGUGUAAGUAACUAUGCACGUCUUGACGGUACCUAAUCAGAAAGCCACGGCUAACUACGUGCCAGCAGCCGCGGUAAUACGUAGGUGGCAAGCGUUAUCCGGAAUUAUUGGGCGUAAAGCGCGCGUAGGCGGUUUUUUAAGUCUGAUGUGAAAGCCCACGGCUCAACCGUGGAGGGUCAUUGGAAACUGUAAAACUUGAGUGCAGAAGAGGAAAGUGGAAUUCCAUGUGUAGCGGUGAAAUGCGCAGAGAUAUGGAGGAACACCAGUGGCGAAGCGACUUUCUGGUCUGUAACUGACGCUGAUGUGCGAAAGCGUGGGGAUCAAACAGGAUUAGAUACCCUGGUAGUCCACGCCGUAAACGAUGAGUGCUAAGUGUUAGGGGGUUUCCGCCCCCUUAGUGCUGCAGCUAACGCAUUAAGCACUCCGCCUGGGGAGUACGACCGCAAGUUGAAACUCAAAGGGAAUUGACGGGGACCCGCACAAGCGGUGGAGCAUGGUGGUUUAAUUCGAAGCAACGCGAAGAACCUUACCAAAUCUUGACAUCCUUUGACAACUCUAGAGAUAGAGCCUUCCCCUUCGGGGGACAAAGUGACAGGUGGUGCAUGGUUGUCGUCAGCUCGUGUCGUGAGAUGUUGGGUUAAGUCCCGCAACGAGCGCAACCCUUAAGCUUAGUUGCCAUCAUUAAGUUGGGCACUCUAAGUUGACUGCCGGUGACAAACCGGAGGAAGGUGGGGAUGACGUCAAAUCAUCAUGCCCCUUAUGAUUUGGGCUACACACGUGCUACAAUGGACAAUACAAAGGGCAGCGAAACCGCGAGGUCAAGCAAAUCCCAUAAAGUUGUUCUCAGUUCGGAUUGUAGUCUGCAACUCGACUACAUGAAGCUGGAAUCGCUAGUAAUCGUAGAUCAGCAUGCUACGGUGAAUACGUUCCCGGGUCUUGUACACACCGCCCGUCACACCACGAGAGUUUGUAACACCCGAAGCCGGUGGAGUAACCAUUUGGAGCUAGCCGUCGAAGGUGGGACAAAUGAUUGGGGGAA